UUUUAUCUUGUACCCCAGGGAUCCAAAAGUAAAUUAUUCAGAUGAUUCAGUCCAGGCACUUUCAAACAAAAUCGAAUGUCAACCUAACCUUUGGGAUAAGUGACAGGAGAAAACAAGUCACACUCGGAGUAUUCCACAUACUGCUUUGAAUGUCUGUGCUGUGGUAGACCUAUGUGGGAUUCAAGUGGCAGUGCGCGGGAGAGAGGACUGAGUGCUCCAUUUGUUAUGAGGUUUCUCCCCUUCCUCCGGAUCCCUGCUCCUAUUCUAAACUCCGACCCUGGAGGUGCCUGCGGAUUGCAGUGGCGGGUUCUGGAGCGGAGCUGCUGCCCUGGGCUGGUGUGUGGAGGACGGUGGAAUUACGGGCCGGUAACCAGGCGGGAGUAACCAGAGACAGACGACUUCUGCGAUGUAAUGACACUGGUGUCCAAAGGUUUAAACCACCCCUGACUCUUCUAGACAGGAGACUAGAGAACUCAGG
ensembl:lncRNA